rnacentral:rRNA from 1 species
UACAGAGGGUGCAAACGUUGCUCGGAAUCACUGGGCGUAAAGCGCGUGUAGGCGGGACGGAAAGUCGGGUGUGAAAUCCCUGGGCUCAACCCAGGAACUGCAUCCGAAACUUCCAUUCUAGAGUGUCGGAGAGGAAAGCGGAAUUCCUGGUGUAGAGGUGAAAUUCGUAGAUAUCAGGAGGAACACCGGUGGCGAAGGCGGCUUUCUGGACGACAACUGACGCUGAGACGCGAAAGCGUGGGGAGCAAACAGG